rnacentral:rRNA from 1 species
AGUAACACGUGGAUAACCUGCCUAUAAGACUGGGAUAACUUCGGGAAACCGGAGCUAAUACCGGAUAAUAUUUUGAACCGCAUGGUUCAAAAGUGAAAGACGGUCUUGCUGUCACUUAUAGAUGGAUCCGCGCUGCAUUAGCUAGUUGGUAAGGUAACGGCUUACCAAGGCAACGAUGCAUAGCCGACCUGAGAGGGUGAUCGGCCACACUGGAACUGAGACACGGUCCAGACUCCUACGGGAGGCAGCAGAC